GACAGAAUCUCCAAGCGUUACCCGGAUUUAUUGGGCGUAAAGGGUUCGUAGGUGGUAGAGUAAGUUAAAAGUUAAAGCUCAUCGGCUUAACCUUUGAGAUGCUUUUAAUACUGCUUUACUUGAGGGCGUUAGGGGUUAACGGAACCGACGGAGUAGGGGUGAAAUCCGUUGAUAUCGUCGGGAACACCAAAAGCGAAGGCAGUUAACUAGGACGACCCUGACACUGAGGAACGAAAGCGUGGGGA
rnacentral:rRNA from 1 species